AAUCGUGAAGUGUCCUCGGUGAUGCAUUACGUCAUUUAACAUAGAGGGAAAACAUUCUUCCAGUUGGCUUUUUUUUUCUCUCUGUGUGCAUAGUGUAAAAUUGAUGAUCUAAUGUACUGAUGAGAGAGAGAGAGAGAGAGAGAGAGAGAGAGAGAGAGAGAGAGAGCAAUCAUAUCUGACUUCAUUUUGUCAUGUCCAGCCAAAGGGAGGUAAAUCUUGUGUUCUGAUUCAACUUUGGAUGAAUGUUUAAAUUGACCCUUACAUUAGAUCAAGUAUUACCUUACUACGACCACCACAAGAAAGUUUGUGUAUGUUGUAGAUCAUUUACUCACCAAAAGUAAAACACCUCAAAUUUUGUUUGUUUUUUUUUCUUUUAAAAGAAAGUGAACAAUGUAUAUUUUUGUUUAGCAUUGCUAAUUUUUGGUUGUACCUUGUAUGUUAUCUAUGGAUAAGAUCUGAUGUGAUUGGUUGAUUCAUUUUGUAUAAAAUAUUUUGUAAGGUACAAUCUGAUUGGUUGAUUUAUACUUGUAUGGCACAAUCAUGGAGAGAUCUGAUUGGUUGAUUUUUUUCCUUUUUAGUACAAUCAUUGAUCUGAUUGGCAGGAAGAAAAACAAUUAUGAUAGCUUAUGCAGGAAAUUUUUUUUUAAAAUAUCUGAACAAGGUUGUUUGAACAUGUUGUGUUUCUUGAUUUCUAGCAUCAAAUUAAUACCUACCCCCCAAUUAUAUUUGAAUGUAAAUGAUUGAAAUAUUUAUUGUUUCUAGAGAAAGAUUCGUGGCCUUAGAAUAUUGAAUUCCUUGCUAGCAAGGGCUAAUGAUUAUCAUUUAGAUAAUUGUAUAUUAUAUAAAUAUUAAUAUGAUAUAUAUUGUGUUGAGAGAAAUUGAGAGACAGUCGUGGCGGGAUUAAACAUCUGGUCUUAUGAAGACCCUUGAUAUGAUCAUUUAAAAAACAAAUUUAUGUAAUUUAUUUAAGUAUAGGAAGUCAACCAUGUUUAUUCCCUCAGUUAUCUCCCUUUUAACUAUAAUAGAAAAAUUGGAGUAUGAACAAAUUGAUUGAAAAAAGUUUGUAUAUUUGAAUUUGUAUAAGCUUUAAAAGAUCGACCCAUGACCGCUUUAUUCUUUGUCAUUUCCUGAAACAAGAUGUAUAUUUAGCGUAGAGAAAUCAUAUUCACAAUCAAUUGUUUUAUUUUUUAUUGAAGUAUACUGUUAGUGACAUUUUUUCUCUCUCUCUUCCCCCGUGAGAGGAGUGGAUCUUGUUAAAGCAGUUAGGUCCGCCCCUCCCCGUAUCGUUGACCUUUCACCUAUCACUGCCAUUGGACUAGAAUGUAGUGUGAUUUUAUCAUUGUGUAUGCCAGGUCAUAUUUUUUUCAGAUCUCUCGUUUUUUUUGGAGUAUGAUAUAUAAAUACCUUGUAAGUCUGCUGAAAGAGAUAAAGUAAUAAAAAAAAAAGUCGAACUCU
rnacentral:sRNA from 1 species